AUUGACGAUCAAUUGCACCAAUGGAUCCCGAAUUGGUUGAGCAAUAGACAACAAAGAGUGGUGAUUGACGGAUUUAACUCAGAGUGGGCGCCGGUCACUUGUGGCGUCCCUCAGGGUUCGGUCCUUGGCCCAGUGCUCUUCAUUAUUUACAUCAACGAUGUGGACGUUGGAAUCAAUAAUCUCAUUAGUAAAUUUGAAGACGACACACAGAUUGGUAACUCGGUUCUCACUGACGAAGACAGACAAAGCCUUCAAGAGGAUUUGUAUAAAAUUUCAGCUUGGUCUGAUAGAUGGGAGAUGCCCUUUAAUGUAGUACAUAGAUAAGUGCCAGGUCCUUCAAGUUGGAACAAGAAAUAAGGAGUUCGAUUACGAAAUGCGCGGCGUCAAACUCAAAAACGUUCAGUGCUUCAAGGACUUGGGUGACAAAAUCACGUCAAACCUCAAAUUCUCACAGCAAAACAUCGAUGCAGCAAAAAAAAGCAAACAAUGUAGGGUUUCACUAAAAGAAACUUUUUAUUAAAAAAAUAAAGAAGUAAUACUUCCGCUUUACAGUAGUUUAGUCAGACCCCACUUAAAAUAUGCAGUACAGUUUUGAUCUCCCCACCAUGUAAAAAGGACAUUGCUAAAUUAGAAGGUGUACAACGUCAGGCAACAAAAAUGAUCCCUUCCUUGCGCAACAAACCCUACGACGAGAUGCUCUCCACCCUUUAAAACAUGUUCUUUCUUGAGAAACGUUGCCUCCGAGGAAAACUGAUUGAAUGUUUUAAAAUACUUAAUGGUUUUACGAAUGUGGACAAAUCAAAAUUAUUCAUUAUCAGUGACACUUUGCAAACUUUUUUUUGUUUUACAGCACAGAGAGGGCAACAAAAAGCGAUUAGUAUAGAGUUGCCAAAAGAGAGGUCAAUUUCGGAUGGAGAGGUGUCUUCAUACCCUUUUUUUUUUCGGUAUUUCGUUGGGGAUAUACCCGAAGGGAGGAAGGCGGUGCAUGCCGCGCAACCACCAAGACGUCGGGUAGAAAGAUGCCCAAUUCUUUCAAGUGGAGAAGGCCCAACAACGGGCUGGGGGUGUCGGAAAGAGCCCCCAACCUUUCCACUCCAAUGGAACCGGGUAGGACUCGAACCUAUACGCUCCAGCACCCCCCUCCCCCCCCCAACCGGAGCGGAAGGCGGAGACUCAGCCACUGGACCACAGGAGCCCCCUACACUCCUCUUGAAAGAGGUCAAGUCAUAUACAGGGAGACGCAAUCUUGGCUAGCUGUAGGUGGCCAGAGCCGCCGAAGGCAUAGCCUGUUUUUAGCACUGAAUAAGAGUUUUUUUAUUUAUUUAUUUAUUUAUUUAUUUAUUUUUUACUGAUGUUGUAUUCGUGUUGUUAUAGUAAGAGUUGGUAUUUUAUUUUAAUAUUUUUUUUAUAGCGUGUGCAUGAGAUGAAAAAUAAAUUUUCCCGCUUUUGAAAAGAAUAUGUCAAAUACUUUAUCACAUUUUAUUUCCUUUCAUAAGAAUAUCAUAAGUUGGGUGAGGCGAAUUGCUCAAUAAAUACAUAUUUAGAAUGACAAUGGUUACCAUAAUAAUUUGAAUACAGAGAGAGAGAGAGAGAGAGAGAGAGAGAGAGAGAGAGAGAGAGAGAGAGAGAGAGAGAGAGAGAA